rnacentral:lncRNA from 1 species
GAAAUGAUGGAGAGGAAGGUAAAAACAUCGUGCCUCAGGCCUCACGGUGACAGAGUAGAGAUGGGGUUUCACCGUGUUAGCCAGGAUGGUCUCGAUCUCCAAGAUAAGGCUGCCUCCUAAGCCUCGCAUCUGUUGUCUGUAAGAGAGCCACGGCUGUGCAGGAAGGAGGGAUGAGGCGGUGGAGUCCUGGGUGUCAGGUCCUGUACUACAGGCCGAGCACAGGGAGAGGAGCAAGCUUUCCUCCUUCCCCUCCUUUCUUUCUCCCUUGAACAUUUGCUGAAGUGUCACCUAUGUUCCAGAUGUUGUGCUAGGAAGCAAAAUACAGCACCAAACAAGAUAAGCAUGGUCACUGCCCUGCUCCCAAGGAAGGAUGCUUUGGAAGGCCUUUCACUGAAUAUCUGUCCUCACCUACUCUGUGCCACUCACAGGCUUGGUUGAGGAUCAAACUCUUUUUGCAGAAGAGGAAAGGGAGACUCCAAGAGGGGCAAUGCUCUGUCCCUAGAUCUGUGACCUUGGGCAAGUGGUAGUUUGGACUGAGCAUUCCUAAGCUAUAUCCAGGGCACCCCAUGCUUCCUGGCCUCAUGUUUAGCUCCUUGUGAGAGGGUCAGGUCGCCCACUAGCAGAUGAACUCCUUGCUCAUCCUUGUGUUCCAAGCAGAAACUAACACAAAACCAGACAACCUGGAAUGAAGACAAGAAACCCUUGGCCUGCUGGGUCAUGAAGCUAUUUCUGGCUGCUGUCCAUGGUACUGGCAAGAAGCAUGAAGCCUGCCAAUGUCAGGUGGUUAGAGCCCUCUUGGGAAGCUAAAAGAUUCUUAUCGUCCAAUUCAUGCUUUUCACAGCCUCCUUGGUUUUUCACUGGGUCUUUCCAACAAGUCUUACCUGUCUCCUCUCUCAACUCCCGGUGAGCUUUUCUGUUGGCCAGUGGAUGCCUUGUAUUAGAUGUUUGUCUUUUUUUUUUUUUUCUGGUCUCCUGUUAUUUUCCCAAGUCAUUCUUAACCUUGGAAGCAGAGAACACUCACAACCAGCUGUACUUGGUGUUGCAUAUUAAAUAAUCUUUGUUUUGAUUCAUGUGUUAAAGUCCUUUAUCCAUUCUCUUGCAUUACAGAGACCCCAGUCUUAACACAUAUUUCUUACAUCAUGUUUCCCAAAUGUCAGUCACCCACAUACCUCCCAC